rnacentral:lncRNA from 1 species
CUCCUCUCCACGCCUACUACCACUGCCAUAUAUAUGAUUUCUCACUUGAAUUCUGCUUUAGUUUACCAAAUGUCUUCAUUUCCCUUAGUUACCAUCUUCUUCCUCUAACUCACACUGCAACCUGAGUGAGAAUUCCUGAAGACAAAUAUGAUCAUGCUACUCCCUUGCUUAAAAUCCUUCUGUGGCUCCAUUUUGCCUUAAGUGUAAAAUCUAAACCCCUUACCAUGGGUUCACUAGUUCUAUCAUUUUAAUCCUGUUUCCUCCUUUGUACUUUGCAGCCACACAUCCUCAGCUCUUUAGGGACCAAUAACCUAUAGUUCCCAGGAGCUUCCUGAUGCUCUGUGGCCUUUGCACAACAGUUUUUCCCUGUUUGGAUUGUAUUUUCUCCACUCUUCACCCAGCAUGCUGCUUGGUUGCUGGUAAAACAGGAAAUGGGGUAAGUAAUUUACAUAGGGAAUUUUACUACCAUUUAAAUUUAAGCUACUUGAUUCUUAAAGUACUUUUACUAUUACUCUUUUUUUAAGAGUGAGUUCACUAGCUACUAGAGAAAUUGGCACAAAGAAAAAUUUUUAUUUUAUAUAUUUAGGUAUUAACCUUGUUUAACUGGUUUAUUGCACAGCAUAUUAGUAGUCUCAUUUUUUUGGUAGAUUUAUCAUGAACAUAAAUGUAUAUUUUAUAAUCAUUAGCAUUUAUAUAAUGUAGUUUGGCAGCUAAUGUUAAAGGAAACAUUUUAUGCUGGUCUUAGAAGCAAAAUUAUAAACCUAAUUAUGCUGUAAAAGAUACAUAGUAAAGUUCUAGUUAAGGCAGAACAACAGUAAGUUUAUACAUAGAUAAGACACAGAAAACAUAGGUUCACAGUCCUUUAUCUGAAAACCUUGGUGGCAAAUGUGUCUUGGAAUUUAGAAUUUUUUAGACUUUGGCAAUUUAAUACAGCAUAAAUACCAUAUAUGAUAUACCUCUCUCCUCUGGGGUAGUACUGUAUUAUCAAGCAUUAAUAUUUCUGCAGUGAAGCAUACCAAUAUUCACACCAAUUUGAUCAAAGCCUUACAUGUUCAAGUCAGAGUUUGGUUGCCAACUGAGAGUUAAGGAAAAGCUCUUUAAUUUCCCAGAGCUUUCUGGAUUUUGAAACUAAAAAUUUUAUACCAGUAUGAAAAGGGCCAUGUGACUCUUGGAGGGUCCUGUGUACUCCUGAAAGAAAACCACAGAGAGAAGUACAAAUUUCUGUAUCAGAAUCUCAUACUUGGUAUAUUUUAUAGAAAAUUAAUUCAUCUGGCAUUUUUGUGUGUGUUGUAUUUCACAUCUGCAUUUUUAAAAGGGUAGUAACCACAUAUUUAUCAAAGGUUUGGGGGUUCUGUUAGGUUAUGUUAAAUUAGUCUCAAAUGCUUGUGAUUCUGGCAUAAUAAAAUUUGAUCCUGUGUUUGAGAAAUUUUUU